UGAAUCAUAGACAAGAAACUGAAACCAAGCAAAGCUCUGGAGUAUUUUUGACAGCCAAAUAGUCAGGUCAGAGCUAGGAAUAACAUCAUAUCCCUCAUUCCUGCUUCUAAUGACUGAUCAUUAUUUUAAAAUACCCAGGGAUUUGGUUCUUAUGCUAAAAUCAUCUUCUCUACAAAUGGUUUCCUAACAAGAGCCACCAAACAGAUGUUGGGUUGUGCUGAACCAGAUCAUAUUCAAAGUGAUUAGUCAGGAUUAAACACAGAGCCAGGGGAAACUCUACGGAAAUCUCAUCAUCUUCUAAAUUUCAUGUACAGCUGGGCUCAGAAGGUGGUGCUCAGAUCUGUAAUGGAGUUGCACUAGAAAGGAAUUCAGGUCUAAGUCCAAACCUGAGAUUAGGUUUCAAUUUGAUUGCACCAAAACUUCUGAGGCUGUUCUCAGGGGACUUCAGCUCCAAGGUGACCCACCAGUCUUAUGCAAUUUCCAUCAUGAGUUCUGCUGCCUUGGAUGGCAUUAAAACUGCAUCCAGCCACAGAGGGCUAGACCAGUUUGGGAGAUGCGUGGAUAAUUUUGAGUCCAGUGCUAAAUCCUCCUUUCUGCAAAUUGCAGUGUGCGGGUAGGGUUUCACACUUGCAGUCCCAUAACUGGUUUUGCUACAAUGCAGAACUCUGCUCAGGUUAUGUUCUGUUCCAUGUUACAUUCUGGAGCCUGAGCAGAUGUCUGGUUUCAUGUUGAAAUUAUGUAAAUUGUAAAUGAUGCAAAUUGUUUUGAAUGGCAGAUGAGAGGCACAGGGCAGCUGAAGCAGGAGCCUAAACACUAUGGAUAGAGAUACAAGGGCCAAAUUAGGAGCUCUGAUUUGGGGACUAAAGCAGCUCAGCUCAGUUCCUGCAGCCCAGGACAAGGUGAGGGGAAGAUAUAAAAAAAUAGUCAAAGUUCAAAGAGCCCAUCAGGCUACCAUGAUGAAGCGCACCAGUUUCUAUAACCAACAGUUCACAAGGGAGCCAUAUGGCUGGGAUCAUGUCCAGCUGCCUCAAACUCCUCUGGCUGAAUAACUAGGUGCCCAUUUAUAGCUGGGUUGACUGAGGGCAACCUGUGGCAAGAGUCAGAGCCUCACUCUGGACCCACACCUCUGAGUUAAGUAUAGACAGUCAAAAAGCCUGAGGCUGAAUCAAUUCAAUCUCUGCAGAUUAGUCUAAACUGAAUAGAUUGAACUGAUAAGCAAGUGAACAGACAUUCACUUUUGAUUCCAGAAAUGCAGCCACUUGCCUGCAGUGGCCUAGGCCAGAAGCUGAGGGGCACUAGAGCAUGCUUCCCUGAUCAGCAAGAUCAGACAGGUUGGGCCAAGGCUAGCCUGCCCACCUCUGCAAGGGUGGGGAGGGGAUUGCAGGGAGUUGUAAAGCAUCCUGGGAUGCUGGGGGACUGUGAGUUAACUUGAAUCUGGAAGAGAUCUGGGACAGAAGUUCAAUAAACAAAUGUAAUUUAAAUCAGUUAAUUCUGCUACUACAUCCAUCCAGGUUUAUCUUAAACCGGUUUUGGCCAUUUUGAAAGUGGUUUAUGUGCACUGAACUUCUGUUGCGUUACAGAUUUGAACUGGUUUCCAAUAACUUAUAUCUUCAUGUGUAAUUUCUGCCCCUUGCCUUAGAGCCAUUGCAAGACACACCUUAACUACUCUGUCAUCUAGUGCCAAGGCAAUACCGUAAGGAGGGAUGGGUAAGCAGGGCACAGGCUCCAGGCACUGUCUAAGGAGGGGGUACCAGAACUGAUGGGGAAGGGAAGAGAAGAGCAGUAUGUCAUGGAGUGCAGGGAACUCUGGGAAUAGUAGUAUUCUGGUGUAGCAGUGGAGUUUUCUGCUGCUGCUGGGGGGAGAUUUCAGCCCAUGCUUUUGCUGCCAAAAUCAGGUUUUUGCCCACUCAACCUGGGCAUUGGCAAUAAAAAGUGGGAUGAAUUCCUUCCCCUGCACCAGCAAAAUCUAGUGUCACUUUAGAAAAACUACAAUUCCCAGAGUUCCCUGCACACACACACACACACACACACACACACACACACACACACUCACUCACUCACUCACUCACUCUCACUCUCUCACUCUCUCUGCAUGCAUCCUGAAUUCUCUGGAGCCAAAGGCAGAGGGGGAAGGCAGAGCACAGUGAAUUCUUGGUUAAGGAAUUGUACCAUGGGGCAAAAAUGGACACUUCACAAAUUGUCUUUGCUGACCUUGGCUGCAGACUUGAUGAGUCCAGACCUCAAAUUACAGCAGCCCUGGGGCUUCUUUAAACUGUGAUAGUUUUUGAUAACUAGCUAUAGGCUGCUCCAGAACCCAGAAGAGCCAAAAUAAAGAAAAUUCAAAGCACAGCCCCUCCUGAUCAUCCUCUACACGGACAUGCCCCAUUGUUGGCAGGGCAAGCUCGCAACACAGGACCAGCCUCGCAUAACCCAGAGAACAGCAAGAAAAUUCCCAGCUGGUGGAUGGGAGGGGCUGACUAAAGGGCCAGAAUGAAGGCUACAGUGAGAGCCAGGAGAUAACUUAUCUCUUCAUAUAGGAGAUACAAACUUCCUGAGGUGCACCUUCAUUUUGAAUGUCUGUAUUUUUGAUCAUUUUAACCAUAAUAUGCUAGUCUAUUAAAUUUUGUACAACUGAAAUAUCUCUACUUAACUCAUUUUAAAGCUUUUGGAAUAAAAAUAUUGUCUUAGAUUUA